rnacentral:lncRNA from 1 species
GAUACAGCAUUCCAGGUACAAUAAUAUUCAUCAAAUACAUGUGUAUAAGAUUACAUCAUUGAUGAAUACAAUUUUCUGGCAUAGCCCUAAGGCUAUUUACAUGGCAACGGAAGUCCAUAUAAAUGGCGGCGGAAAUCUUGGUUUGGCAGCGUCUCACUAAGGCUGGGCUCCAUAACGCACAGGACUGGCAAGAUUACGACCUAGCACGACGGAACAAGCGAACGACCUACAAAACCGGCAUGACACGCCAGGUCAGUACAUUGAAUGUACUUGCAAGACAACCAAAUACAUAGCAUCCAAACAAACAGAAGACAAAGCAAGAACCAAGCAUAUGCAACAGUCUACAUCAACACAACUUCUAAGUAUGGCAUGAUAUUAACUAGAAUCAUAAUUCAAACUAGGCAUGAAUAACAUCAUAGCAUCAACUAUCAUGGCAUAUCAAACUUACUUCUAUCAUAACAACAACAAAGCAUAGCAUAUCAAAACAGGGCAUGGCAUCAUGAAACUAUGCUGAAAAUAAACUACCAGUUACCUCCCGUGAAGACAUGUUGUAAUAACCUUAUGCCACAAUCACUUACUCUGCCACGGCUCCUCGGAGCACAAUCAUAACUUACCGAGACCUCGUCUCGCGGUCAUAUCAACACAUCAUCGUGACUUCUCAUGAUUAUUUCAUAGUCCAAGCCAUCACAUUAGUUAUCACAUCUUAGUUAUCACAUAAUUUAUUAGCUGAUUUAUCUUCCAUUUCGACCGAGACCCGAUAGUGGGACCUACUACGAACCUGUGCCCAUGACCGAGGACGCGGCUAUCGAUAGAUUGAAUACACUCUGCAGAGGUAGCGCACUUUACCCACACUACGGAACCCUGGUCUCGCACUCCCAUACGUGCGGACCAAAGAGUUCCGACAAAACCGAUCUACUGCCAUGACGCCCUCCCGGCCACUCCGAUCAACACCCCUUAAGGGUUCAGUCCUGGGUGGCCCUGUACCUACCAAAGGUACCAACGGCCACCGUCAUGGCAAAACGGUCCCAAACGGGGACAUGAGCUCAAAACCAAACCCGGGCACACAAGGCUUAUGUCUGCCUAUCUGAUCAGGGUAAGCGCGCCCAUAACCUUCCCUUGCGGGAGGCACCGGCGAGAGGCAUGACAAUAGACCCAGCUAGGACCUUCCCAUAAGGUAAAUGUGGUUGCACUGGAGAAAGCUCGAUUUGGUGGCACUAUGAUAUCCCAGUGAUGGCGGAGGAGGUUUGUUAUUAAGUCAUGUUAUUAAUUUCUCCACCAUCAUCAACAUUAUGAGCAUAUUAAACAAGAAUGCAACAAUGAACAUGCAACUAACAAAUGCAUUAACAAAUAUCAAGCUACUCUAGUGAACAGUUAUAGCAUAUGAAACAUAACAAUACUAGACACUAGCUUAUUGACGGUGCAACAAAAUCAUCAUAACAUCAAGACUACUGGCAUGAAAUAAACUAGACAGAGGCAUGAUAUUAUCAACAACAACAUAACUAGCAUGGCAAAAGCUAUCAUGAGAGGUAAGCAAGCAGUACUAACAUAUAUCACAACUGAAAUAACGGCAGACGAAACAGACAGAAACUACUGCAACUAAGCACACACACACGAGGUACCAGCAAAGUCAACACGCAAGUUCAGGGCUCAUGAUAAGAGGUUGGCUUGCCUGGGGUCGAGGAUUACUCCGAAAAAAGUGCGGAACGAUCGCGAAAAGAUUUGCCGGAAACAGUUCUCUCUCGGAGGGGGCUGUUUACGGGCAAGGGCAAAGUGGUCAUUUUCACUGUGUGAAAACAUAAUGAAAAUGAUACCAACGGAAAUAGUUCAGCGAGACGAAGACGUGAGCGUUGGUUUCACCUCAAUCGGAGUUACGGUUGUCGAGAUACGCAGGGUUGACGUUCAGGGACCUAUCGGUGAAAGUUUUUCAGCAAACAGGCCCCUGGAGGAAAAACUAAACGUGCCUUUGGGCUGAAUACGUUUUCCGCACAGGGAAACGCAUUAUGGGCCGAACUGCCCAGGCAAUACGUUUUCUGACAUGGAAAGCGUAUUCACCAGGAAUACGUUUCCAGAGCAGGGCCAGCGGAGCCACGUCCUCCUCUCGCCGACUGGUGGGUCUCGUAGGGUGGGGCCCGCCUGUCCUGGCUUCUUCUUCCUCCCGCACGUACGCGCGCCUGGCCGAGGGAGAUGCCCGCCUCGACGGCGAUUGCCGGCGGCUCCGGCCGCCUCAGACGACGGCCGACCUAUCCACGAGCUCAGGAGCGAGAGGCGCAUCCCGUGGUCGUGUCCGUUGCCGGCGAGGAGCACGGGAGAAGGAGCAGCAGGGCUCGCCGUGGAGGUGGUCUUCGGACUCCGCCGAACAGGGGGCUCCGGUGGGGGAACUGGGUGGGCAAGGCUACGGGAAGGUGCGCCGGACCUCGGGGAACGCAUAGGUGGUGGUGGAACGGUGAGGGUGGCACGGCGUUGCCGGGAUCGAGCGAAGCCCGAAACUGCGGCCAUGGUGAUGGUGGGGAUCGGAGAGCGACUCCGGGGACGAGUGAAGGGCUUGGGGAGGCUUGAGGACUGCGAGGGAGCUCGGGACGGGCUUAAAUAGCCACGGGGAUGAGCUCUAGGGGAGGGGAGGAGGUGACACGCGGCACGGCUACGUGUCCACGCGCCGGCGACGUGCAUGCGCGGCCAAAGGCCACAGGAAGCGACGGGGACACGACGAGGGGGAUGCGGACGAUGCGCAGGGGCUCACGGAGACGAGGGGCGCUCGUGGACGAGAGGGAGAAGGGGACAAGAGCGAGGAAGGGACGGUGCACACGGGCAGGGACUGUGCGGCGACAGCGACGGCUCGACGAGGAAGAAAACGAAGGGGAAACGGGCCAAGGCGCACGGCGACGAUGAGGCUGAGCUGGUUGACAAGCUUGGACGAGCCAGAACCGGACGGAGCGGCGCCACUGUGGCCAACAGUGCGCAGACCACCGAUUUGGCUGGCAUAGCCCCGUGGUCACCACCGACAACGCAUGCUCUGGUCGUCUUCUUGGUGCCAAAUGAUGUCUACAGCGUAGUCCUUCCAACGCUCAUUAAGACUGAAGUGAUGGAACGAGCAAAGGUGUAGUGAGCAGAGGGAAACUGGCUCGACAAGCUUGCUGUUGCAAACUUGGCAACAUCCUGGUGAUCAGCACAAAGAGGUUAAGGGAAAAACUGGUUGUCUAGGAGGUUUAGGAUAGCAAGGACUACGGUCCUGAGAAGUUGGAAGGGAUUUGGGCAAGGAUUUAGUAUAGCUGCAGUUCAAAUGCCAAAUCUGACCCAGAAAGCAAAUGAUGAAGAAGCACUCACUAGGAGUGAUGGAUUGGGCUAAAACUUGGCAAAGCUUCCUUAUUUGGUCAUAUGUAGAUGCUGCAAAAAGAUCAUACCAAAUGGACUUGCCCAAUUGGUACUUGUUUCACAAGCAUCAGAUCUGACCAGAAACUUUGGAAAAAUCCAGGAAAAUAUUGGCUACAUGAAAUGAGCCAAAAUUGGUUGGAGGUAGGUUAUAUGGAGAGGAGAAGGCUUAGGAAUAUUUUCAGCCAUAAUGGAGCAAGAUAAAAUAGACUUGCUUCACAAACUAAAAAUUUGGACAGAAACCAAGAAUUGCUCCUGUGCUCACAUAGCUCAAUGAAAUGAGCUGUUAGGUGGAGGCCAAUGAUUUGGAAUACUUGAGAGGAUGGCAAAGUUUCAUCCCAUUUGUAAACUCUAUGAAGAUACUUCCUUCACAAAGUUACAAUCUGGUCAGAAACUUUGAAAAAUUGCACAGGGAGCUAGGAUGAAUGGAUUGAGCUCAUCUUUGGUAUUCAUGGGUGAUUUAUCAAGGUUAAUCACCCUCCAAUUUGCAGCUCAAUAGGAAUUAAGAAUAAGGCACUUCCUUUGCAAAAUUUCAGAGAAGGCAGAAACUUGCAUUGGAUCAUGUGCCAUAUUUUUGAACUGAGGAACAUGAGAUAAGAAUGGAACUAGUGAUUAUAUAGCAAGGAAAAGCUCCACAAUUUAUGGGAGAAUUUUCCCUACUAUAAAAAUAGUAGUUCCUUUAGGAAGUGGCAGAAAUGCAAUAUUGGUAUUAAAUAGGAAAAGGCAUUUUUCCAUAUUUAAUUAUGGCCAAUAUCUUUGCCAGAGCUUGGAUUAGACAUAAAUAUCAACUCCACCAAUUCUCAUGAAUUUUGGAGAUGGCUAGAUAUGCCUUUGGAUUUUAUCCCUCGGAAAGGCAAGAAAAGGAAUAAAUCCUAAUUCAAAAAUAUUGCAUGGGACUUGGCAAUAUUUUUGCAUAUCCAAGGUUUACAAGGAUAGGAGGGUCUCAAGGAAUAGAUGGGAUGAUCAACAGCUCAAGGAGAAUGAUAGCUCCUUUGUAAUCACAAAGGCCAUCUUUAAAUUCCAACAAUUUGGAGUUAGGGUUUGAGAGGGUUUGAGCUGAGACAAAUGAGGUCUUGCCCACUAAAAAAGACAUGAGCAAGGUUUUGAAAGGUUGGAAAUGACAAAAUUUCUCAGAGUCAUCCAGCAAACUCAGGAGAAAAUUUUGAGAAUGAGUGCCAGGAAGGAAUAACAGCACAAAAAUUGAUAACCCAAUUUUGGGGCUGUUACAAACCUUCCCCCCUUAAAAGAAUCUCGUCCUCGAGAUUCCUAGGCUUACAGCACAAUUGCAAAGAUAACUACUCCGGGGGAAAACCUCUGGGUUAAUUUUAACCCUUUGGUCAAAUUCGAACGAGUUUGGGGCAUCGAUAAUUGGUACACCUAGGGAGAGAUAUGGGCAAACACGGUUAUAUCCACGCCUAGGGGCACUCAAGAUCAGACUCCCGAAAAAUGCUGGAUGCACCCCAUGAACAGUGGUUUCACCUGCUGACACGUGGGUCCAGGGCCCAUUGGCAGCCUCCUUCUUCUACCUCCGGCUAACUGCUUCUUCGGUGCUGCUGCUUCACGUGCGGCUUGGCGCAGCGCGCAUCUAGCUCCUAGGGCGAUGAGGACCCUAGAGCCAUAGUGCGUGGCGUGCACGGCGCCGGUGCAGCGAGCACUCAUGUCGCGGGCCAGCACCUUGUCGGCACUGCUCACGGAUUCGCCUCCUGGACGCCGGUGAUUGAGCGACGAGCGGUUUUCCUGGACCUCGCUCAUCGUACACCGGAGUUGGGCUAUAAAAAGGCAGUGCGGCUCUCCUCCAGCACACAAACACAAUGCCGCUCUACUACCUAUUCGGUUUGGACGAGAUCAAGCUGAGCUCCUUCGGUGAGGCUGUGUUCCUGGUGGCACUGCGAUGGUUCCUAGCUGCGCUGCUGGGCACGCUGAUUGGCUCGUCGAUCAUCCUGCUGACGAUCAUCAGGUACGAGCGAGCUCGAGGCAACGCGCGGCCAGCUGCGGUGGCUCGAGGUGUGGAAGAAGAUGGUGCACGGGGUGGUCCUCCACCAUGCUUAAUUCUCCGACGCUUCGCGCCGGCGGAGUAAUCGCGUGCUGCGGGCAGCAGUGGUGGCAAUCUGCCUGCGCCACGCAAGGCAGAGGCAAUGGUGGGGUUUGGAUGCAGGUGAGGUGGCUGCACCAGCUCAGGAAUCAUGCCGGAGUACGGAUAAAUUUCGCGGAUUGCUCCACGAAAUGUAGGUGUCAGGGUAGAAUCGGAGUUGAAAUCGGUAUCGGGGUAGAUGUACCGGAUCGAGUGAAAUAAAGCUGACAACAUUUCUCCAGAUACGAACUUGGAGCUAACGAAAAAGAAUUAGGUACGAGAAAUGGCCAGAUGAAAAUGCCUCUUCGAGGCUCUGGGUUAGGAAAAUCUGACACACAGGGUGUGCACAGAUAGAGAGGGAGGUGUGACUUUGCAUUCCCCCGAGUACUGCCCGAAUGUACUCGUGGGUGAACCGGGUAUGUGUGCAGUAUGCAAUGCAGUCUAAACUAACAACACACAAGUGCAAUAAACAUGCAAUGAAAAACACAUCAGACAAAUAAUACUAAGGUGUUUUAAUGCUAGUGGGUAUAUGUACUCCUGGCAUACAUAUACCUACACCAGCGCGCAUUUUAUUAAAGACCCAGGACGAGCCAAUGUUAUUUAGUGUAUGUGAUACUGAUUAAAAUCUUGUUAUCACACAUUGCCAACCCUGUCAAACAUCUCUGUUUGACGGAGAGACAAACAAAAACAAGCACAAAAAUUCAAAAGCAAGCAAGCAUACACAAACACAUUACGGGCUACAAACAAUACAAGCAUACAACAAAGCACGAACGCUCUACGCGCUAAACGAAACUACUCACUCCGGGAUACAUAGUUCUAUCCUCACAUCAAGGAUGAACAGGAUGAUUGACCUACUCGCAGAAUCAUCCCACUGUGUGGCUGAGGUCAUGCAGAAGACUGGCCUUGCUGGGGCUCUCCUGGAGGACGAAGACUGAGCCAAUCUCCAUCUUCAUCGUCCGACACUACUAUGGGUUGGGGUUCGACUGCUGGAGGUGUGGCUGAAAUUGAUCCAAGUAAAUGCUGCUGAUGGAUCCGUAAAAGAGCCUUAUCGAGGGUGAUGAUGUUGGGUCUAGGCCACAACACAGGCUGAGAGGGUAGCACUGGUUCAGAUGGCAUGGGGUGAACGGCUUGAGAUGCGAAUUUAUGAGCCUCACGAUAAGCUUCCUUGACAACUCGCACCGCAUCGUUGUCCAGGGUUCUAAACUCGGCAAGCAUCUUGGAAAUCAUCAUCCCCUGGGCAGUGAUAUACUGCACCAGGCGAGCGAUUGCGGGGUCAUCUCCUUGGAUAGCGGGAGAAGGCUGAAUUCCUGCUUCUGCCACAAUGGGGAAAAAGCAGAAGUCCCGCCUCUCUGCCACCUGCGGAAACUUGGUUCGGAGGUAUAGGGUGGCCUCCACAGCAGCGGCCUGAAUGGUUAAAUCAGCGGUAGGCAUGGCUCUACCCUGAAAAACCAAAGGCUGGCCAUCUACUACGGGACCUGGGCUGAUGUGCACUCUUGCAUCAUAGCGAUGAAGGUGAGGGACGGGUGUCGACUGGAACACCAGGUAAUCGGGGUUAGCCUUAUAGCCAAAGGCUUUGGUGAGCAUCUCGGUAAGAAGGGGUGGAAAGCCAGUGUGGUUGACGGCACAGGCGCGGGUGUAAAACUAGGGAGCUUUGAAGGUGCUAGUCAUGGCUGGGGAGCUACUAGCUAAGCUUUUCUGCAGGGACAUGGCUGGCUGAGGGGUGAGCGAUACGGCUAGCAGAAAGGGGGCUUUUAUAGGCGGCUAUGCGGGACAUGCCCGCAUGGCAUGGCCCCUUUCCCUUAAUGGCGAAGGGUACGCGGUGCGGCCGACCAGAAAGGAUAGGGGUGCUAUUCAAUCCACAGAAAACUAGGCGGGGACAGCGGGGUAAGGACGUGUCGUUCCCGACUGUGCCACCUGUUGAUUACAGUGGCCAUGCCGGAUGCCAGGGAUGGGUCAAAUCCCUUAGGGUCAUUACGGGUUGAUGGUAGCGGUGAGCUAAUGCUAGGAUAACCUAUGCCAGCCUGGCGCUUUGAUACCAUAUCCUGUGGCACCCCGAUCUGCAUGGAGCAGGGGGCCUUCGCACGUCAGCCCGGGAUUACGCCUGACACACGACAGGUCCAUGAUACAGCAUUCCAGGUAUAAUAAUAUUCAUCAAAUACAUUUGUAUAAGAUUACAUCAUUGAUGAAUACAAUUUUCUGGCAUAGCCCUAAGGCUAUUUACAUGGCAGCGAAAGUCCAUAUAAAUGGCGGCAGAAAUCUUGGUUUGGCAGCGUCUCACUAAGGCUGGGCUCCAUAACGCACAGGACUGGCAAGAUUACGACCUAGCACGACGGAACAAGCGAACGACCUACAAAACUGGCAUGACACACUAGGUCGGUACAUUGAAUGUACUUGCAAGACAACCAAAUACAUAGCAUCCCAACAAACAGAAGACAAAGCAAGAACCAAGCAUAUGCAACAGUCUACAUCAACACAACUUCUAAGUAUGGCAUGAUAUUAACUAGAAUCAUAAUUCAAACUAGGCAUGAAUAACAUCAUAGCAUCAACUAUCAUGGCAUAUCAAACUUACUUCUAUCAUAACAACAGCAAAGCAUAGCAUAUCAAAACAGGGCAUGGCAUCAUGAAACUAUGCUGAAAAUAAACUACCAGUUACCUCCCGUGAAGACAUGUUGUAAUAACCUUAUGCCACAAUCACUUACUCUGCCACGGCUCCUCGGAGCACAAUCAUGACUUACCGUGACCUCGUCUCGGGGUCAUAUCAACACAUAUUCGUGACUUCUCAUGAUUAUUUCAUAGUCUAAGCCAUCACAUUAGUUAUCACAUCUUAGUUAUCACAUAAUUUAUUAGCUGAUUUAUCCUCCAUUUUGACCGAGACCCGAUAGUGUGACCUACUACGAACCUGUGCCCAUGACCGAGGACGCGGCUAUCGAUAGAUUGAAUACACUCUGCAGAGGUAGCGCACUUUACCCACACUACGGAACCCUGGUCUCGCACUCCCAUAUGUGCGGACCAAAGCGUUCCGACAAAACCGAUCUACUGCCAUGACGCCCUCCCGGCCACUCCGACCAACACCCCUUAAGGGUUCAGUCCUGGGUGGCCCCGUACCUACCAAAGGUACCAACGGCCACCGUCGUGGCAAAACGGUCCCAAACGGGGACAUGAGCUCAAAACCAAACCCGGGCACACAAGGCUUAUGUCUGCCUACCUGAUCAGGGUAAGCGCGCCCAUAACCUUCCCUCGCGGGAGGCACCGGCGAGAGGCAUGACAAUAGACCCAGCUAGGACCUUCCCACAAGGUCAAUGUGGUUGCACUGGAGAAAGCUCGAUUUGGUGGCACUAUGAUAUCCCAGUACAAUAGACCCAGCUAGGACCUUCCCACAAGGUAAAUGUGGUUGCACUGGAGAAAGCUCGAUUUGGUGGCACUAUGAUAUCCCAGUGAUGGCGGAGGAGGUUUGUUAUUAAGUCAUAUUAUUAAUUUCUCCACCAUCAUCAACAUUAUGAGCAUAUUAAACAAGAAUGCAACAAUGAACAUGCAACUAACAAAUGCAUUAACAAAUAUCAAGCUACCCUAGUGAACAGUUAUAGCAUAUGAAACACAACAAUACUAGACACUAGCUUAUUGACGGUGCAACAAAAUCAUCAUAACAUCAAGACUACUGGCAUGAACUAAACUAGACAGAGGCAUGAUAUUAUAAACAACAAUAUAACUAGCAUGGCAAAAGCUAUCAUGAGAGGUAAGCAAGCAGUACUAACAUAUAUCACAACUAAAAUAACGGCAGACGAAACAGACGGAAACUACUGCAACUAAGCACACACACGAGGUACCCGCAAAGUCAACAUGCAAGUUCGGGGCUCAUGAUAAGAGGUUGGCUUGCCUGGGGUCGAGGAUUACUCCGGAAAAAGUGCGGAACGAUCGCGGAAAGAUUUGCCGAAAACAGUUCUCUCUCGGAAGGGGCUGUUUGCGGGCAAGGGCAAAGUGGUUAUUUUCACUGUGUGAAAACAUAAUGAAAAUGAUACCAACGGAAAGAUUUCGGCGAGACGAAGACGUGAGCGUUGGUUUCACCUCAAUCAGAGUUACGGUUGUCGAGAUACGCAGGGUUGAAGUUCAGGGACCUAUCGGUGAAACUUUUUCAACAAACAGGCCCCUGGAUGAAAAACUGAACUUGCCUUUGGGCUGAAUACGUUUUCCACACAGGGAAACGCAUCAUGGGCCGAACUGCCCAGGGAAUAUGUUUUCUGACUUGGAAAGCGUAUUCGCAAUGAAAACGUUUCCAUAGCAGGGAAACGUAUACCGUGGGCGGGCGCGUCCACUUAUCCGACGUGGCCAGCGGGGCCACUCCCUCCUCUCGCCGACAGGUGGGUCCCGUAGGGUGGGGCUCACCUGGCGUGGCUUCUUCUUCCUCCCGCGCGUACGCGCGCCUGGCCGAGGGAGACGCCCACCUCGACGGCUAUUGCCGGCGGCUCCGACCGCCUCAGACGACGGCCGACCUAUCCACGAGCUCAGGAGCGAGAGGCGCAUCCCGUGGUCGUGUCCGUU